GACGAACGCUGGCGGCGUGCCUAAUACAUGCAAGUCGAGCGGAUGGAAGGAAGCUUGCUUCCUAAAGUCAGCGGCGGACGGGCGAGUAACACGUGGGCAACCUGCCCCAAAGAUCGGGAUAACUUCGGGAAACCGGAGCUAAUACCGGAUAUGAUUAUAUCUCACAUGAGACAUAAUGGAAAGACGGUUUCGGCUGUCAUUUAGGGAUGGGCCCGCGGCGCAUUAGCUAGUUGGUGAGGUAACGGCUCACCAAGGCGACGAUGCGUAGCCGACCUGAGAGGGUGAUCGGCCACACUGGGACUGAGACCCGGCCCAGACUCCUACGGGAGGCAGCAGUAGGGAAUCUUCCGCAAUGGACGAAAGUCUGACGGAGCAACGCCGCGUGAGUGAAGAAGGUUUUCGGAUCGUAAAACUCUGUUGUUAGGGAAGAACAAGUACCAUAGUAACUGAUGGUACCUUGACGGUACCUAACCAGAAAGCCACGGCUAACUACGUGCCAGCAGCCGCAGUAAUAC
rnacentral:rRNA from 1 species